UUGGCCAACCCAAUAUAUAUAAGUGACAACAUCUAAAGAGGAUUAGAACAGCCGAACGUUCUCAUAAGAGAUCGUUCACGGAAAGCGGUGAAGAGUAGGUUUAUGAUGAUCCACAUGUUACAUUGCACAAACCUUCAAGAACGUGAGCAAUUACAUAAGCGCAAUGACGCGAGAGAGGAAGUACUUGUUGCGUUAAAUCCGUGACUGUAUCAAACUACAGCGAAAACGUUAGAAACGAAGCAUCAGCAUCACAAUGCGAUGUUCAUAAAUAGUUUGUUUAGACGAGGCCACGUUGGAGUAAAAAAUAUCUUUCUCUUCUAUGUAUUUCCUUGCGCGUACUUGACAGUUCUCCUUUUCUCUUUUUCUCUCUCUUUUAUUUUUUAUGGUAACCCAGCAAGCUUGUGAUACCACAGGCAUUGCUCUAGGUGCAGUGUGUUGCUUGUGGAUGCACACCAUUCUCUCAUGUUGAAUGAAACGAGCCCAGCGGUGACGUAAUGCGGUCAAUCGUAUAACGCAAUCUCAAUUUCCACGUAAUCUCGAUUUCCACGUGCUCGGUGCAGGUGUGUUCAUUGCUCUUUCCCAUGCUUGUGGCUUGGUCUUGUGGAAUAUGAAAACCUUUAAAACGGACACGUAUGUUGUUCGUUCGAGAACUAAAACGAACUAGAAACGAAUAGAGUUAGAGCGCGUAAAAAACGAGUUCAGAAAUAUUUAUUAUGUAAUUCCAAACGCCACAUAUAUUCAUAGGCUUGUUCAAUAUUGAUUUUUAACGCACGGUCAAUCAACCUUUAACGUGACUUUAAUUGCGCUUAAAAUAUGCUAAGCAAAUGUCCUUCACGUGCUCGUGCGUCGAUUGUAAUGCCACCGUACUAUGCCACUGCUAUGUAGGAAAUUAUUAAUUACCCCAUGCCGUUAAUAGCUGAAGGAAAUUCCAGACGUUAUCAAGAAAUCUACCAUCUGCAUAGACGCUCAUCACAAAUCGCUUGAUUCUCAGCAAUCUUAAAAAUUGUUACCUUGCGGCUUCAGGUCGUCAAAGAAAGAUAUUAAAAUUCGAUAAGAGUACAUAGAAAAAUAGUACAUAAUAAAUAGUAUUACGUGACAAGAACGAUCUUAUCAAUAACGAUGAGUAGCGGUCAUUACGUCAUUUAUGUCAUUACAUAGAGUGCGGUAGUCAAGCUAGACUAGCAGAAUCAUGCUUUUUCAGGCUUUUGAAUUGCAUUGUGUCGAGGUUUUUUUUACGGUACGACGCACUAAUAUCGCGUUGCAUCGCGCCGCGUUUCCGAGUUUCCUUCUAGCUGCGUUCUCAAGCUGAUUAUUAUAAUGAGGCUUCUGUCGCCUCAUCGUCUGAUCGGCCGAGUACAGUAUUGUCUCGUAGGCAGCCCUGAUUGACGCAGAGGAUAUUCAUUAAUCGCAAUGCAUGAGAGUGAGAUUAAGAAGAACAAGACGGUCAGUGAACUAUUUGCAUACAGCGAACGAGUACACACUUGGUUUUCCUUAGGAAUCAGUCAGGCGCGACAUUGAUGCCUUGUGAGUUUCGAACUUAUAUUCUUUACAGAACAUUGUGUGCACGAUUCAGCACAAAUUUAUUGUGAAAGUAGAUAAAUCACGUUUUGAAGAACGAG